rnacentral:rRNA from 1 species
UACGUAGGGUGCAAGCGUUGUCCGGAAUUAUUGGGCGUAAAGAGCUCGUAGGCGGUUUGUCACGUCGGGUGUGAAAGCCCGGGGCUCAACCCCGGGUCUGCACUCGAUACGGGCAGACUUGAGUUCGGCAGGGGAGACUGGAAUUCCUGGUGUAGCGGUGAAAUGCGCAGAUAUCAGGAGGAACACCGGUGGCGAAGGCGGGUCUCUGGGCCGAUACUGACGCUGAGGAGCGAAAGCGUGGGGAGCAAACAGG